UUUUCUAAUUUUUACUUUUUAAAAAUUUUAUGGAAAGAAGUUGGACAUAGACUCCAUUGGGAAUGGGGUUCGUUUCCGGGGCAGAAUUCGAAAACCAUUCAGUAUAUUUGAUCGAAACUUGAAAGAUGUAUCAGUCACAUGCCGAACUGGUGCCUUUUGCUAUUUUGUAAUUUAAAAAAAAAUUAUUUUUGCUAUUUAGCAAUGUUUCAAAAUUUAACAAGUUAGACUUUGCUGAAAUGGAGGUAGGUGUCGUUUCUGGAGCAGCACUAAAACACUUUUCAAAAGUGUUGAAUCAAACUUGGAACAUGUAUUAUUCAGGGGUUGAAGUGGCUCCUUUUGCUAUUUAGGAAUUUAGAUAUGUUUUUUCCUGUUUCCAUGGCAAGAAGUUUGACUCUGACCAUAUCUUAAAAACUAGUAGGUAUUCUUCCUUGAAACUAUGUACACGUCAUAGUGCAUUCUUCAUCAUUCUUCAUUAAGUGGACUUAACAGGCAGAUAAUUUGUUCUUUCGAAUUUGUAGGGGCCGGGGGGAUUUGUCAUCUUCUGAUGACUCUUGUUUUAAAGUGAAAUUUGUUCUAGGUUCACACUUUUUGCAACAAUUAACUCAUUUAUUUCCUGCAGAAGGCAGUGUGUUUGCCAUGUCCUGCAGCCCGAAAAUGAUGACAGGUAACUGGAAGUUAAUAAUACUGUAGGCAUUUAUGAUAUUUGAAUGAUAAACUCACAUUAUUUCAAAUUUUAUGGACCCAUCUGGAAACAAACGUAUCGUAGCAUAUUCUAGACUCUAAAUUCAACUUGCUGUUUGGCCACUAGAAACAGUUCAAAAUUUGAAAGUUUUUAAACUUAUCCUAUCUCACUCGGUGCAUUCCUCCUUCUUCUUUCGAUCCCUUGCGUGGAAACGUCCUUGAUCAAAGUUUCCAGCUUCAAAGCUUCAUUUGCCCAGCCACCCAUGCCUCACCAUGACCGCCACCCAUGCAUCACCAUGACCCCCAUCCCAGUAUAUAGGUCAUGCACUCAGAUCUCGUGCAGCACGCCGUGCUUGAUCUGAUCCAUUGACUGCCUCAUCAUUCUCUUUCUUUUAGCCUCCCUGUGGAGAUUUUCUUUUUUUUGAGAGAGAGAGAAUGUUUAGGCCUUUAAUUUUCUCAAAUUUUAUCAACAUAACUAGAGCUCUUAAUUUGGUCAUCGCUACCACAAUGAGCAUAAAGAUCGCUGUAGUCCCCGAAAUGCAUGCACUGCUCCGCUAUAAUAAACUUGCCAACCAGUCGUCCAGAUUUCGUCCACCCAAACAGGGUUUGAACGUUAUAUUACGACACCUGACCUCAGCAGAAUAUGAACCUUUGGCAGAAAAAGACUUUGAACAGAUUACACUCAAAACAGUCUUUCUUCUGGCCCUGGUUACUGCUGCAUGGGUCAGAAAUAUACACACCUUGGAUGUAAACAGGAGGUGACGAUUCGAGGCACAACCAUGGAAAGGUCCACCUGGGUCUGCGAUGGGAUUUUAUCGCCAAGAACUUCCUGGUCAACCCGACAGGCUAUUCACCAUCCCGGCUUUGAUUCUACAUCCGGAGGAUCACGAGGACAUAUUGCUAUGUGCAGUUUGAGCUCUACGCAUAUACUUCCAAGCCUUAUCAACCCUGCGACAAUCCCAGAAGGGAUAGUUUAACCCCAUCUCUCAGAUGGUUACUCAGAGGUCUCCCGUACAAUGGUCCCCUUUUGGUUACGAUCUACAAUACUCAGUGCCUACGACUUUACGGGAUUACCUCCACCCCAGACAUCGAAACCUCAUGAGAUGAGAGCUGUCACAUCUACCAUGGCUGUACAUAGAAAGUGUUCCCCAGUGCUAUCAUGGAAGGAUGUUUCUGGAAGUCAGACUGCAAAGCAGUAUUGGUUUGAAGAUCCUCUUAUGGAUAUUGUCGAUCUUUUCCUCAUCUUGUCUUAGCUAUUCAAUCCUGCAGUAUGAUCAAUAAAAGAGCUUCGACAAAGUGUAAAAUGGGAUGCCAAACAAAUAAUACCUGCGUCAAUACAGAGUACGGACAACUUUGUUUGUAAUUGACUGGAGACCCCUUCGGAAUUGGUUAAAAGUCAUGUUUGAAUAGUUGCCUAAUUCAAAACCAUGCAGUCGUCAUUGUACGAUGUCCUAUGCGAAAACACACUAGCGUAUGUUACACCAGAAGAUAUACCACUGUCUCCUAGUAGCGUAAAGGGUUUUUCAACAUCACUCUAUAACAGUGAUUCACCCAUAGAAAACACUAGUAAAAUCUGCAGACGUGGAUGUGUGACAGUCCCAGGAUUGAAGCAUGUCCCCACCAGCUUCCUCGUGUACAUCUCUCGGUUACAGACGAAUACAGACUAGGGUAAUCUGCAACCAAGCAUCCAACCCUGGGAUAAAUGCAUAGAGUGUGAUGGGGACAGUGUCGGUCAGGACCGUGAAAGCAGCUUCCCGAAUGUCUGACAGCCACACAUUGCGAUGCUGGAGCUCCUCUUACACUACACAUCAAAACAAUCAAGAUGCUAAUUUGAAAUUACAGCUUCAUCAGUUUUCCAGGAAAGAAUACUACUGGUGUAUGAACGAGACUUCACAGACUGCAGCUUUGUGUAUUACCAGUAUUGGUAACAGAAGAUAUACCAGUCAUGUGACAACACACCAUUGGUGUACAUGCAUAUUAUCUGAAUCUUUGCUCUCUCAAUCAGUUUCACACAUGAAACCAACAAACUAUAUGAAGUAUCUUCACUAAUGGAGCUCAAGUUGUUUGUCAGGAGGACAAAGAAAGUCACAUAUUAUGAGGUUCUGUGAAGAUAGCAGAUACUUCAUGGUCUGUAUGGGAUGUGUUCAAUUAUAUGUGUGAUUAUAUUUGUUUAUGGGUAUCUCUUCGAUGGGAAAUUGGAAACAACCUUGAUGAUCAGUAGAAAGUUUGGUGUAUUGCAGUGGAGUCAUUAUCUGAAACUUGUUUUUAUUCAAACUGCCGUUGUAUUUAAAAAAAUUGUGUAGCAGUGUGAGUCCACUCAAGGUCUUAUUAGUGUUGAAUAGUGUGUCAGCAUUGAUACUUGCAAGACAACAUGAUAUCAGCUAAUCAUAAUGUGUGUACAGGUACUUAUCAUUUUUUGGGCCACCUGAAAUUUCAUUUCAAGCGAGCAUAUGGCAUGGUACCUUGUCUGUCUAUCGUAAACUUUUAUAUUUUCGACAUCACAAGACAUAUGAAGCCAUCCACAAGACAUUAAAGAGCAAUGGCAAAAACUAGGUUUUCCCAUAUGGUUGCCAUGGAAACCAAACUUGAAUUUCAAAAAAGUGGUUUGAGCAUCAUUAGGAGAGGCUGUCAGUAGACAGCAGGUCCUGGCAAAGUUUCACCAUCCUACAAAUUUUGAUGUAGGACAAAAUAGUGAAACAUGUUCAAUCAGGCCCAAACUGUCCGCAGACACAGGUCAUUAUUAGGACCAAUUGGACAACUAUGUUACUUUCUUCUUGUCUUAAUAAAGCCAAAACAGGGACCUAUUGACCUAAAAUAGGGUGGUUUCAUUCUAACAGACUACUGACCCUCAGUCACCUCAACAAUGGAAAGACCUUUGCACUUUUAACAUGCUCUCAAAUAUCUUCUCUGAUUCAGCUUAACUGAUGAGGUGAAAUUUAGCAUGCAGGUUUAUUCUUAUGAAGACAUCUUGCCUUGUUCAAAUCAAUGUGUUCUUAAAACAAUUUUAUUUUGUUAACAUUUUAUGAAAACUUUAUUAAUCCAGAAAAUUGACAAUGUUAUGACUAUAAGAAGAUCAAGUGUGUUGAUCAAUAUGAUUUGAACUCAACAGCAUUGAAAGAAGACUUCAUAUCACCAAUGUAGUAACAACAUUUAUUUUCAUUUGCCUGGACUCUUUUGCACCAUUUUUUCACUAUAGUUGUUUGCCACCAAACAAGGUUGAAGUGUCAUAAACUUAUUUCUUCAUCAUUCAGGGAAGCGACAGAGCCUUGUGGCUCUAUUUCUGGACUUUAGAAUAAUGACUGGUCACAAUAGUUUUAUCCUAGGUACAAUAAUGAUUUGUAAUUUGUUCGAUCUUUGCACUUAAAAAGCAUAAAAAGUAAUGAUGUGGGGUGUUGUUUACUGAAUAAAUGAUAGUGCAUAAGAGCAAAGGUGAAGCAUAUGCCAAUGAGAUUGCAAUUUCUGAUCAUCACACUAGAAAAUCACACACAGCUUUACUGUUGACAUAGCUACGAUCAACCAUACUGAAAGUGUUGAUUUCACACUAUGUAGGGAUUAUUAUGAAAUAAAUAAAUAACAAGUGAUUCCGUGGCAUUUGUUUGCCUUACCAAGCAUUUUUUGUGUUUGUUUCUAAAAAUCUAAAAGAAUUAGUCCAUACCGUCAAGUGAACUACUUCAACACUUGUUUGGUCGAUUGUGUUUGCAUAAUUGCACUGACUGAUUUCACUGAUUUCAUAUCAAUGUCUAUAGUUUGUUUGUGUUAAUGAAACAGUUGUCUGUGAAGUUAUUGCUGUUGCCCUAUUUAUUUAUUGGAAUUGACAUCUUUCUUUUUUUUACGUUUGUGGAGGUAUAAACAUUAAAAAAACCUGGUGAGUUCACUGUUCAAUUCUGAAAUAUUCAUGCUGUUGGUUUGAAUCAACAAAUUUCUCAUAUUUUUUGCGUAUUCUUCUUGACCUAUUUAUGAUGGCUUUUAUUAACUUAGUAUUCAAGUAUUCAAGAAAAGAUCAGGUAGCUUCAUAAUGACAGUACAGUCAUCCCUCAAAAUAAACUCUGGCCUCAGGGUUUAUGGAUGACCCCCUGAUUUAAAAA